AACCUUUGCUGUCUUGGGACGGAUCACCACUGCAAGAGGGGAAGUUGCUACUGUGAUGAAUUCUGCCAUGUGGCACCAGACUGCCACCCAGACCACAGUGUCCUCUGCAACCCUGGUAACUCACAUACAGGCCCGAUUCCACCGACAGCAAAGCUGGAUGCUAUGGCUGGCAGAGGCAAACCCUUUGCCUGCACUUCAGGCCAAAGCCGGGAUGUGGCCUAGAUGGUUCCUAAGGUCCCUGACAAUCCUGAGAUCUUGCAUCUUGUCUAUUUCAGGUCAAAGCUUCUCAGAUGACCAAGAUGGUGCUGCAGAUGGUGCUGAGGAUGGAGAACCCACCAAGCCCCGCUAGGAGCCACCUAGACUGGAUGCAGAGCAUGGACAAUUUGCUGAGGUCUGGGAGCACCCCCUCCAGAGAGUCCCUGAUCUCUCAAAACUUGGUCGUGAUCUAAAGUUUAUUUGAUGUACAACUCCCC
rnacentral:misc_RNA from 1 species